UGGGGAAUAUUGCACAAUUGGCGCAAGCCUGAUGCAGCCAUGCCGCGUGUAUGAAGAAGGCCUUCGGGUUGUAAAGUACUUUCAGCGGGGAGGAAGGGAGUACAGUUAAUACCUUUGCUCAUUGACGUUACCCGCAGAAGAAGCACCGGCUAACUCCGUGCCAGCAGCCGCGGUAAUACGGAGGGUGCAAGCGUUAAUCGGAAUUACUGGGCGUAAAGCGCACGCAGGCGGUUUGUUAAGUCAGAUGUGAAAUCCCCGGGCUCAACCUGGGAACUGCAUCUGAUACUGGCAAGCUUGAGUCUCGUAGAGGGGGGUAGAAUUCCAGGUGUAGCGGUGAAAUGCGUAGAGAUCUGGAGGAAUACCGGUGGAGAAGGCGGCCCCCUGGACGAAGACUGACGCUCAGGUGCGAAAGCGUGGGGAGCAAACAGG
rnacentral:rRNA from 1 species